ACUUAAAUUGAAGAGUUUGAUCAUGGCUCAGAUUGAACGCUGGCGGCAGGCCUAACACAUGCAAGUCGAGCGGUAGCACAGAGAGCUUGCUCUCGGGUGACGAGCGGCGGACGGGUGAGUAAUGUCUGGGAAACUGCCUGAUGGAGGGGGAUAACUACUGGAAACGGUAGCUAAUACCGCAUAAUGUCGCAAGACCAAAGUGGGGGACCUUCGGGCCUCAUGCCAUCAGAUGUGCCCAGAUGGGAUUAGCUGGUAGGUGGGGUAACGGCUCACCUAGGCGACGAUCCCUAGCUGGUCUGAGAGGAUGACCAGCCACACUGGAACUGAGACACGGUCCAGACUCCUACGGGAGGCAGCAGUGGGGAAUAUUGCACAAUGGGCGCAAGCCUGAUGCAGCCAUGCCGCGUGUGUGAAGAAGGCCUUCGGGUUGUAAAGCACUUUCAGCGGGGAGGAAGGCGGUGAGGUUAAUAACCUCACCGAUUGACGUUACCCGCAGAAGAAGCACCGGCUAACUCCGUGCCAGCAGCCGCGGUAAUACGGAGGGUGCAAGCGUUAAUCGGAAUUACUGGGCGUAAAGCGCACGCAGGCGGUCUGUCAAGUCGGAUGUGAAAUCCCCGGGCUCAACCUGGGAACUGCAUUCGAAACUGGCAGGCUAGAGUCUUGUAGAGGGGGGUAGAAUUCCAGGUGUAGCGGUGAAAUGCGUAGAGAUCUGGAGGAAUACCGGUGGCGAAGGCGGCCCCCUGGACAAAGACUGACGCUCAGGUGCGAAAGCGUGGGGAGCAAACAGGAUUAGAUACCCUGGUAGUCCACGCUGUAAACGAUGUCGAUUUGGAGGUUGUGCCCUUGAGGCGUGGCUUCCGGAGCUAACGCGUUAAAUCGACCGCCUGGGGAGUACGGCCGCAAGGUUAAAACUCAAAUGAAUUGACGGGGGCCCGCACAAGCGGUGGAGCAUGUGGUUUAAUUCGAUGCAACGCGAAGAACCUUACCUGGUCUUGACAUCCACAGAACUUUCCAGAGAUGGAUUGGUGCCUUCGGGAACUGUGAGACAGGUGCUGCAUGGCUGUCGUCAGCUCGUGUUGUGAAAUGUUGGGUUAAGUCCCGCAACGAGCGCAACCCUUAUCCUUUGUUGCCAGCGGUUAGGCCGGGAACUCAAAGGAGACUGCCAGUGAUAAACUGGAGGAAGGUGGGGAUGACGUCAAGUCAUCAUGGCCCUUACGACCAGGGCUACACACGUGCUACAAUGGCAUAUACAAAGAGAAGCGACCUCGCGAGAGCAAGCGGACCUCAUAAAGUAUGUCGUAGUCCGGAUUGGAGUCUGCAACUCGACUCCAUGAAGUCGGAAUCGCUAGUAAUCGUAGAUCAGAAUGCUACGGUGAAUACGUUCCCGGGCCUUGUACACACCGCCCGUCACACCAUGGGAGUGGGUUGCAAAAGAAGUAGGUAGCUUAACCUUCGGGAGGGCGCUUACCACUUUGUGAUUCAUGACUGGGGUGAAGUCGUAACAAGGUAACCGUAGGGGAACCUGCGGUUGGAUCACCUCCUUACCUUAAAGAA
rnacentral:rRNA from 1 species